UGCAAUGGACAUGAACUUGGGCAAACUCUGGGAUCUGGUGAGGAACAGGGAGAACUGGUGUGUUACAGUCCACAAGGUCACAGAGUCAGACACAACUGGGCGACUGAACAAUAGCAACAGUAGUAGCAUCUUAGAUGAUUGUUGUAUUACUCUACCUUUCGUUCUAAAUGUCAGACCUUUGAAAUAUACUAGUUAUAGAUAGAGCAUACAUAAGAUUCAAACUAUUCCCUCUAAAACCCCAGUGCUUCUAUGUGUCAUCUCAGCAGCCAGAUGUUCCCAUAAGGAGAUAAUUAAAACAGUUUUGACUUCAUAUUCUAGAUGUCCUGUCAGACAGAAGACUAAUACAAUAUGUUUGCACUUCUAUAGUUGAUCACCAAUGCAUAAACCAGUUACCAUGUUAUAUAACAAAAAUUUAUUUCAUUAUAUACUCAAAACAAACCUAUAUUAUCUCCAAACCUAGUAUCAGUCUUAUCUUUGAACAAAUUGUGGAUGCAUUCCUGAAUUCCAACUUUUCCAGGUAUUCAUAUAAAAAAGAAAUAAACCCAGUGUACUUUAAAAAAUAGUUUACAAGUCCUUACAUGAAUCUGAUGGCAGCACACAUUCUUAACAAGACAGACCCCUAGAUUAUUCAUUCACAGUAAAAAUGAAUAUUAGAGCAACUCGCUCUUGAGUCAGUGAAUUUAAAAUUCUCAACAGUUCUUUCCUGGAACACCAUUUUGGGGAUAAGAAAGCUUGUUUAUAAGAGAGCUGAAGAAAGGUGCUAUUAUUAUCUCUUGUGUAAUGUCCUCAAAACUACUUAUUUGGAGUCAUUAAAUGUAACUGAUAAAUUCAGGCAAUUUGGAAUGAUUUUAAAAUGUAAACUGCAAUACUCAUUGAAAGGUUAUGAAGUUCUAUUAAAGCAUCAAAGAUAGAUACACUAAAGCUGAGAAAUUGAUUCAUUGUUUUUGGGAAACAUAUGUUGCUUUCCCUUUAGUGGUUCAAAUGAUUUCUGAAAGCCCACUCUUCUAUGACACUGCCCUAUAUAUCUAUAUGUAAAAUUCUUUGACCCAUCUUUGUUUGCAGUCUCGUCCAUUUAAGCUGCUUCACCGUACGGCAUACUUGUUCUUAGGUAACUAUUAGUAAAUGGGUGCAACAUUUCCAAUUACUCCCCACGUUUCCUGCCAAAAACCACAUGGGCACAAAAUCACCAUGGUUAUUUCUUUGAACCAAAGAACAUUUACUUCUUUUUUUUUUUUUUUUUGCCUUUUUUAACCACAAAUAUAUGAUCUCUUCCUAUAUUUAAAUUUUUUGGUAAAUGCUCACAUAAUAUAUAUAAAGUUGAAGGUGAAAGAACAAAAAAACAGACUUACAGUUUGAUAGGAAUUACAGUGCUGAGGAAAGAAACAGGAGUGAUAUGUACACACCAAUCCAAGAAUUAUCUGAUAUGCUAAUUGAAUUGGGGAAAACAAUGAAUAUGCAACAGUGGGAGAGACUAAGUAUAUCUUUUUCAGAUUCUGGAAGACAGUUUUGGAGGCUAUUUUUAUCAGGUCCGAGCUUGGGAAAUGUCUUUAUAGAAGAGGAUGUGAUGAGGGCUUUUGUUAGUUUUGUGGGCAUUUCUCACAUUUCUCAUUGCGCAGCAUCUUUUGAAUACCCUUUCUUGUUUGAGGAACCCCCUACUUUGUGAUCCCCACUUCUCCAGGAAGAGGUCUGCAUUAGAGGCCAGGAACUGUCCUUCUCAGUCUCCUUUGUCACUGGGGUUCAGCCAUAAGCCUUGGGCUCCACCAAGCGAGAGAGAGACCCUGCAUGCCGCAGGGGCAAAGUCGCUAUUUGGGGAUCCUGUGCCCUAUGUAACUGUCACAUGCUGGCAGAGGGUAGAGGCAGGAGUUCACUUGGAGCAUCUGACAGUGGAAUGAGGCAUCUUUCCUGCUACUUGGACACCCAGCCUGAUUCUCUGGACAUUCUGGGGAUUCUGUGAGUUACUGAAUAUCCUUUGCUAUAAAGUUCCCUUUCCACUUAAACUAGCUAAACUGAUUCUGCUGUUCGCAACUAAAAGUCCUGACUGAUACAGGCUACACUCCACUAAGUCAGUAUUUCAACACAGGGCACGACUUGGCAUUUUGAAUUGGACAUCUCUCCUAGCGUGCGAUGGGUAUUUGUGAUGUAAGAAGUUGCCAUUCCUGACCCCCAGGGACUAAAUGUCAGUAGCAGACUCCAGUUACUGUGACAAAUAAACAUCCCCACACAUUUCCAAAUCCCCUCCAGAUGAGGGCAACAUGACCCCUCACUUGGGAAACACCCUAUGUGCUCUCCUAACAGCAUAAAAGAGUUCACAUGCUUCCUCUCAUGCCCAUUCUAUCAAGAGGUAAUUUAGGUCUUAAAAAGGACGUGCUUACUGGGGCUUUGUACACUAUUACAUUCCUGGAUAGAAGCAGAACAAUGAAGCCACCUGUAUGUUUUAAGUGACAUGGAUCGAAACACCUAGUUGCUGCAUGAGAAAAAUGGUGAAAGCGUCAAUUGUGAUGAUAAUGACACCAUUGUUGAAUCACCAUUGUGAUUCUUUGGGCACACUUAGAGAAUGAAAAUAGAUGAUCUCCAAAGUGGAAGCUAUGUGGCAUGAUUAACAUAUUGUUAUAAUAAAAAGGCUAUUUCUCAUUUAUUUUAUUCAAAAAUAAAUAUUUUGCAUAGUAUGCUGAAGAGCAAAAGUUUAUAAUAAACAGAUGUAGAGAUAUUUUAAUCUAAGAAAUCUGAGAGAGAUGUUUGAAAUAUAAAAAUGUUUUAAUAUACCAAAAAUAUUAAUUUUCCCUGAGCAGAUAUGGUAGAAAGAUUUCAGCUAUAGAAUGGGAAAGCACUGUUCUACAGGGCUCUACUGAAACCUAGAGAAGAGCGGCUUCCUGAGUUAAGUGACACAGGUGAAAACACAAAGUUCAGUGGGGCAUCCAAAUCAAAGGAAUAAGGCACAAGAGAAUGAAUACAUUAGCGAUAAAUUGUGGAGAAUUCAAAUUUUAUGUUUUAAGAGAAAUUACUAGUCUUUAGUGCAUUCAGAAUGUGUCUUUAAUGUUUAUGCUAAAUAGCUGUUGUAGUUUGUUGUUUACCAUAGAGAAGUAUUAACCCCCCCCCCCCCCAAAAUCAGUGAAUAUCCUAGACCUAAUUAGAAGGAAGUGAUAUAAACAAGAAUGGCUCAGCCUGGGGUAGAUUAUUGCUUCCAGUUCUUCUCCUUCCCUGUAUCCUUCUCAUAUGACUGCCUGUUUCAUAUGGCUUUACAGUGAAUCUCACCAAAGGCAGAGUGUAUUUCUCUGCUCCACUGAUACCUUACUUGGCCAUGUGACUUGCUUUGACCAAUGGAAUGUAUGUGAAUAUGAAGCAGGCAAAGGCUUGAAAUGUGGAGACUUGGGAAGCAAACCUGAACCAGACCUGCAUCCUGGAGCCAAGCCCUGCCAAGUGCAGUCGUGACUAGGAGACCCACCGCUGCAGACAGGCCUUCCUCACUGCACCGUGGCCUCAGGGCAACUGAAUGACUGAAGACCUCAAGGAUGUGUAUCCCACCUUCAAGAGUGAGUGUUUCAGCCAAGAAGGCAGAUUCUAUGACACCUUUUAUGACUCAACCUUGGAAAGCCAGCAGAAUUGCAUCUGCUAUGUGAUGUUGGUUACAAGUGGAAGAUGGAAGAUAAUGAUGAAGGCACUGCAGUCGGCUGUCAGCAGAUUCAGCUCAGUAUUGCCUCGAGGUUUGGCAUCAAUCCUGUUCUCCCUCAGAGGAUUUUAUGAAGUUCUGGUUCAAUAGCUCAAGUGACUGCUUGCAUCAUAUUACUCUUUCUCUGACUUUUUGAUACAGUUCUGACAAUAACAGCAUCUACCUUGUAUACAGCAACUUACUACAUGCCAAGCACUAUGUGAAGUGUUUUAUUUGUAUUUCAGUUUCCUUCUUGAUGACUCUAGGAUCCACUUAAUUCACUCUUAAGGCAAUGUUACCUAAAAGAAACAUGGUCAGCCAUCACAAUAUAAUUGUAAAAUUACCAUACUCAUGACUAGAAUUUCCUCAAUACCGUAAGAGAUUAUAUACAAUAUGUACAAUUAUGUGUAUAAGAUCUUCCAUCUAUUUAUGUUUUUGUUUUUAUUUUUUUGGCCACACGACAUGGCAUGUGGGAUCUUAGUUCUCCAACCAGGAGUGAGACUCCGUGCUCCCUGCAUUAGAAGCAUGGAGUCUUAGCCACUGGACCACCUGGGAAGUCCCCUAUCUAUCUUUUUAAAGGCAAUAUUAUUAAAAGCCCCUUUCCCUCCUAUCCACUUUUCUAGUAUCACCAUAUCUCUAGUCUCUCUCGUCUCCAAAAUCCUGAAAAUUUCUUCUCUUACCUUUGUCCUAGCAUAGGCACAUCUUAGUUAUAUUCCUCCUGAUCUUCUAUCCCAAUUCUGCAUCACAAAAGCUCUAGGGACAGCUAUGACAAUAACAGGCAUUCCUUGGAAGAUAUGGGAGCAAAAUGACCUAGAGGCCACUGGCAGAAUCUCCUUUAGCAGAUGAAGAAGGGACAGGCAUUCUCAGGAUGAUAAAUUGCUCCUCACGUGAGCAUUGCCUUUCUCAAUCCUGACACCAGCUCUGGGCUUGGUUCUAUUCUUAUCUCUGUUUUCAGAUGAGUAAAAUGAGGCUUAGAGAAAUUAAAGAGCAAGGAAGUAGCAGACUCUGAACUUGAAUGUAGGCCAUCUUAUUCCAAAGCCUACACCCUUCAUCACUGCCCACAUGGAAAUUUAAUGUGGCUGGUAUGUUUGCCAUUAUUCUUGGCCACCCAUCAUUUGAAUGUCCUUGCAUCUGAGAAUACUCCACAUUAUUUUGCUGAGUUCAUGUGCUGUGAUAGAAGGUGGCAGUGCCUAUAUCCACUUUUGCAGCAUCCCUUUCAGCUAGGGCAUGGCACAUGCACUUGGCUCUGCCAGUCCUAUGCCACUGCCUGCCCUCUACUUCCAACCCCAUCAAUGCCCCUAAAGUCACACAGAUGUUGCUUUAGAAGCUAAUGACAUAAAGAAGCAGAAGCCAUAUAUAACACACUCUGGGGACAGUGGCAGCUGCAUAUUUUAUCUGCAGCUGGUAGUGUCUGAGGCACAAGCAGUGCUUGGCAUCAUCCCUGGAUCAGGUUUACCUUGUGGUUUGGCAGGUGGCCCUGUCUGAAUGUCCCCAAGCCUGCUUCUCUGGCUUACCCAGACAUUCUGUGAGUCAUCCAACACCACUGUAAUGAAUCCUCUUUCUGCCUAAUUUAGCUAGAUAUAGUUUCUAUUGCUUGUAAAGAUGAACUCAAACUGAUUUGAGUGCCAAUGGAGCGUUUUUGUUUGUUUCCAUCAAGCUACAUUAGUCUCCAAUUUCUUCCAAGAACAUUCCUUGCCUUAUCUUCCAAAGAACUUCUCUCUCACACUUGUUCCCAGGAACUAAAAUUAUGUCUAUAAGGUUUCAACAUGUGACCGAACCUGGCUUGACACUUGCUACUAGACCAACUAAGGUCGCUGCUUUCCCGACAUCGCCUGGUCCUCACUCCCAUGCAUCAAGUGCCCACUGCAGAUACAACUGUAAAGAUACAGAAUACGAAAGAGUGCAAAACCCAGAGCUCACUGUCAGGAACAGAGAGCUUGGUCCUGUCAAUGAGACACAUGCACCGACUGAAUUCUGUAGCAUCCCCUUCCUCUGCUAUCUCCUUUCCAAUUUUCUUUUCAUAGAUUUUGAAUGUGCCAAACCAUAAAUCCCACUUGAUGUUUUUUAUAUUACAAUCACGGUGAAAAUAUUUAUGAGAGAGUCAAGACACUUUUGGUGACAGUGACUGAAAUCUGGCUCAUGCCAACUUAGGAAUUCUGUGACUCCUGAGGAUGAAUAUGGCUUCAGGCAUGGCUAAAUCCAGGUGCUCCAACUGUAUAACCAGGGCUUGGGCUUCCCUGGUGACUCAGACAGUAAAGAGUCCGCCUGCAAUG